UUCAUUCUCAAAGCAGCCCUACGACAUAGGUCCUACCGUUAUCCUAUUUUAUAGGUGUUUGAGGUGACACACUGUUACACAAGGACCAUGUGACUUCAGGCACCCUGGAACUCAGGAAGAGAAAGCCCUCCCUCAUGAAGCACAUGCCACGCCAUCUGAUCACAGCGAGGACCUUCCAUGAUGUGUAAGUUGACUGCAGAGUGAAGAAGCCAAAAGCUAGCGUGGACAGGAUGGCCUCUCACAGGUGGACAUAGCAACCCCAGGAAACACCUCUGACCCAGACGGAUGGGAACUGCACCAGCCUUCUGACAAGAAGAGUUGCUCGCAGGAGGAGAGCAUGAAGGAUUACAACCGCUACUGCAUCUGGCAAGAGCAUUGAGGGGCGGAUAAAGUCCUUGGACAAGUUUCUGGUGGGCAGGAUAAUGGCUCCAGAAGGUAUGAGCAUUUUUGCAUGUCCAGUAAUGAAGGCUCAAAGAUGGAGCUGAAUUCCCUGGCAUGGGGUUCCUGGAUGGUUUUAAGCCACCAUGUGACUGUAGGGAACCCAACCUGGGUCCUCUGUGAAAACAGCUCCACCAUCUGAAGUUUCCAUAGUCUCUUGAACAGCGCCACCUGCUGGAGACAGAGUCUUCAGGCACACGAACCUCUCUCAGGGUUGGGAUUCCACAUCCAAACCGCAGAAGCUGGUCUUGCCAGCCUGCUGUCAGCCUCUCAGCUCUGGCCACUCCAUCCAAGGACCGCUGCUGUCUGCUAGCAGGGUGAGGAAGAUUUAAGAUGUCAUCUGUCCCCAUCAGUGCCCUAAGUAUACAGGGCUGAGUGGUUGCUCUCAAGCUGUUCCCACCGGG
rnacentral:lncRNA from 1 species